UUGAAACAUCUUAGUACCCUCAGGAAAAGAAAUCAAUAGAGAUUGCGUCAGUAGCGGCGAGCGAAAGCGCAAGAGGGCAAACCCAGUGCUUGCACUGGGGGUUGUAGGACUGCAAUGUGCAAGAGCUGAGUUUAGCAGAACAUUCUGGAAAGUAUAGCCAUAGAGGGUGAUAGUCCCGUAUGCGAAAAACAAAGCUUAGCUAGCAGUAUCCUGAGUAGGGCGGGACACGAGGAAUCCUGUCUGAAUCCGGGUCGACCACGAUCCAACCCUAAAUACUAAUACCAGAUCGAUAGUGCACAAGUACCGUGAGGGAAAGGUGAAAAGAACUGAGGUGAUCAGAGUGAAAUAGAACCUGAAACCAUUUGCUUACAAUCAUUCAGAGCACUAUGUAGCAAUACAGUGUGAUGGACUGCCUUUUGCAUAAUGAGCCUGCGAGUUGUGGUGUCUGGCAAGGUUAAGCAAACGCGAAGCCGUAGCGAAAGCGAGUCUGAAUAGGGCGCUUAGUCAGAUGCUGCAGACCCGAAACGAAGUGAUCUAUCCAUGAGCAAGUUGAAGCUAGUGUAAGAACUAGUGGAGGACUGAACCCAUAGGCGUUGAAAAGCCCCGGGAUGACUUGUGGAUAGGGGUGAAAGGCCAAUCAAACUUCGUGAUAGCUGGUUCUCUCCGAAAUAUAUUUAGGUAUAGCGUUGUGUCGUAAUAUAAGGGGGUAGAGCACUGAAUGGGCUAGGGCAUACACCAAUGUACCAAACCCUAUCAAACUCCGAAUACCUUAUAUGUAAUCACAGCAGUCAGGCGGCGAGUGAUAAAAUCCGUCGUCAAGAGGGAAACAACCCAGACUACCAGCUAAGGUCCCUAAAUCUUACUUAAGUGGAAAACGAUGUGAAGUUACUUAAACAACCAGGAGGUUGGCUUAGAAGCAGCCAUCCUUUAAAGAAAGCGUAAUAGCUCACUGGUCUAGUGAUUUUGCGCGGAAAAUAUAACGGGGCUAAAGUAAGUACCGAAGCUGUAGACUUGCACACAACUU
rnacentral:rRNA from 1 species